CAGCAGCCACGGUAAUGCGAAGGGUGCAAGCGUUAAUCGGAAUUACUGGGCGUAAAGCGUGCGUAGGCGGUUUGUUAAGUCUGUUGUGAAAUCCCCGGGCUCAACCUGGGAAUGGCAAUGGAUACUGGCAAGCUAGAGUGUGUCAGAGGAUGGUGGAAUUCCCGGUGUAGCGGUGAAAUGCGUAGAGAUCGGGAGGAACAUCAGUGGCGAAGGCGGCCAUCUGGGACAACACUGACGCUGAGGCACGAAAGCGUGGGGAGCAAACAGGAUUAGAUACCCGGGUAGUCCCUGUCUCUUAUAC
rnacentral:rRNA from 1 species